GACACCCUGGCCGAGUGGUUAAGGCGAUAGAUUAGAAUCUAGAGCAAAGCCGUCUUCAUCUAUUGGGAUUUUCCCGCGUAGGUUCGAAUCCUACGGGUGUCG